CAGUCGCCACGGUAAAACGUAGGUGGCAAGCGUUGUCCGGAAUUAUUGGGCGUAAAGGGCUCGCAGGCGGUUUCUUAAGUCUGAUGUGGAAGCCCCCGGCUCAACCGGGGAGGGUCAUUGGAAACUGGGAAACUUGAGUGCAGAAGAGGAGAGUGGAAUUCCACGUGUAGCGGUGAAAUGCGUAGAGAUGUGGAGGAACACCAGUGGCGAAGGCGACUCUCUGGUCUGUAACUGACGCUGAGGAGCGAAAGCGUGGGGAGCGAACAGGAUUAGAGACCCGUGUAGUCCCUGUCUCUUAUAC
rnacentral:rRNA from 1 species